UACGGAAGGCAGCAGUGGGGAAUAUUGGACAAUGGGCGAAAGCCUGAUCCAGCCAUGCCGCAUGAGUGAAGAAGGCCUUCGGGUUGUAAAGCUCUUUUAGUGAGAAAGAUAAUGACGGUACUCACAGAAGAAGUCCUGGCUAACUCCGUGCCAGCAGCCGCGGUAAUACGGAGAGGGCUAGCGUUAAUCAGAAUUACUGGGCGUAAAGAGCACGUAGGUGGUUUUUUAAAGUCAGAUGUGAAAAUCCCUGGGCUUAACCUGGAACUGCAAUUUUGAAACUGAAAUACUAGAGUAUCGUAGAGGGAGGUAGAAUUCUAGGUGUAGCGGUGAAAUGCGUAGAUAUCUGGAGGAAUACCUGUGGCGAAAGCGGCCUCCUAAACGAAUACUGACACUGAGGGUGCGAAAAGCGUGGGGAGCAAACAGGGAUUAGAUACC
rnacentral:rRNA from 1 species